UACGUAGGGUGCAAGCGUUGUCCGGAUUUAUUGGGCGUAAAGAGCUCGUAGGCGGUCUGUCGCGUCUGCUGUGAAAACUCAGGGCUUAACCCUGAGCUUGCAGUGGGUACGGGCAGGCUAGAGUGCGGUAGGGGAGACUGGAAUUCCUGGUGUAGCGGUGAAAUGCGCAGAUAUCAGGAGGAACACCGGUGGCGAAGGCGGGUCUCUGGGCCGUAACUGACGCUGAGGAGCGAAAGCAUGGGGAGCGAACAGG
rnacentral:rRNA from 1 species